AGUGAUCGCUGGCGGCGUGCUUAACACAUGCAAGUCGAGCGAAUUCUUACAGCGUAUCGUAAGAGUUAGCGGCAGACGGGUGAGUAAUACUUGGGCAAUCUGCCCUUGAGAGGGAAACAACCGGCCGAAAGGCUGGCUAAUGUCCCAUAAGACCACGGGAAUGCAUAUUCCAGAGGUCAAAGGUCCGCAAGGGCCGCUUGAGGAGGAGCCCGAGUCCUAUCAGCUAGUUGGUGAGGUAACGGCUCACCAAGGCUUUGACGGGUAGCCGGC
rnacentral:rRNA from 1 species